rnacentral:rRNA from 1 species
UGGGGAAUAUUGCACAAUGGGCGCAAGCCUGAUGCAGCCAUGCCGCGUGUAUGAAGAAGGCCUUCGGGUUGUAAAGUACUUUCAGCGGGGAGGAAGGCGAUAAGGUUAAUAACCUUGUCGAUUGACGUUACCCGCAGAAGAAGCACCGGCUAACUCCGUGCAAGCAGCCGCGGUAAUACGGAGGGGGCAAGCGUUAAUCGGAAUUACUGGGCGUAAAGCGCACGCAGGCGGUCUGUCAAGUCGGAUGUGAAAUCCCCGGGCUCAACCUGGGAACUGCAUUCGAAACUGGCAGGCUAGAGUCUUGUAGAGGGGGGUAGAAUUCCAGGUGUAGCGGUGAAAUGCGUAGAGAUCUGGAGGAAUACCGGUGGCGAAGGCGGCCCCCUGGACAAAGACUGACGCUCAGGUGCGAAAGCGUGGGGAGCAAACA